rnacentral:lncRNA from 10 species
CAGGGCUGCCAGAGCAAACCAACAGCGUGAUGCAGACCAGGCAUGGGAGUCAUAAAGUGCACGCUUCUAGUGGAAUGGAAGAUGCUCGAGUGGGAGCUGUUUCAUGGCAAAUUAAUGUUUACUCGUUCCUCCAUCGGUUGAAAGAUGCCCACCCACACUGAGGACAGUCAUCUGCUCUGCUGAGUUCAGCAAUUCAAAUAGUGAUCUCUUCUGGAAAUAUCCUCACAAACACACUCAGAGAUAAAUGCUUUUUCCAGCUGUCUGGAUAUCCCUUAUCCCAGUCAAGUGGAUAUAUAAAAUUAGCCACCAUAGAAGCCUAUCCUAUGGAUCCUUUUGCAACUUAUUUUUUCAUUUGACACUAUACUUUUUACAUUUAUUCACAUCGAUACUUAUAACUCUUGGUCUUUAUAAUUGCAUGAACCAAUUGCUAUAAUAAAUCUUCAGAACUGC